UCCGAAUUGGUGUAGUGGCUAACAUUUGACGCUCUCAUAACAUCUCAUGAUACAACAUGAGACACAAGCAGUGCCGUCAAGCCCGGGGUUCGAUUCCCCGAUUCGGAG